rnacentral:rRNA from 1 species
GAUGAACGCUGGCGGCGUGCCUAAUACAUGCAAGUCGAGCGACCACAUGAUAAGAUCGCUCUCCUAAGGUUAGCGACUGACGGACGGGUAAGAAGUGGAUAGCCUUCUAAUUUUUCUGGGAUAAUAUCGGGAGGCCGGUGAUACUAAUGGCUAAUAUAUUCUACCGGAUGAAUCAAUAGUGCUUGACACUUUUGGUGAUUCUUUUAGCUGGAUCCGGGCCGGAUUAGCUAGUUGGUAAGGUAACGGCUCACCAAGGCGACGUUGCGUAGCCGACCUGAGAGGGUGAUCAGCCACACUGGAACUGAGACACGGUCCAGACUCCUACGGGAGGCAGCAGUGGGGAAUCUUGCGCAAAGGGCGAAAGCCUGACGGAGCAACGCCGCGUGAGUGAUGAAGGUCUUCGGAUCGUAAAGCUCUGUUAUUAGGAAAGAACAAAAGUGUAUGUAACUAUGCACGUUUUGACGGUACCUAAACAGAAAGCCACGGCUAACUUCGUG